UACGUAGGGUGCAAGCGUUGUCCGGAAUUAUUGGGCGUAAAGAGCUCGUAGGCGGUUUGUCGCGUCUGCUGUGAAAACCCGAGGCUCAACCUCGGGCCUGCAGUGGGUACGGGCAGACUAGAGUGCGGUAGGGGAGAGUGGAAUUCCUGGUGUAGCGGUGGAAUGCGCAGAUAUCAGGAGGAACACCGGUGGCGAAGGCGGCUCACUGGCUCAUUACUGACGCUCAUGCGCGACAGCGUGGGGAGCAAACAGG
rnacentral:rRNA from 1 species